rnacentral:tRNA from 1 species
UAGUAUUUAAUGUAAGUUGAACAUAUUAAAUUUUGAUUUUAAUAAUAUAAAUGUAAA